AAAAGUUCUGUAGGUCCGGUGCAUAGGUAGUUGAAGAUACCAAGAGGCACACUUACGAAAAUUGCAUGUUAAAUGUUUUAAAUCUUUGGCCGUG
rnacentral:lncRNA from 1 species